CUUGAACGCUGUCGGCAGGCCUAACACAUGCAAGUCGAACGAGUGGCGGACGGGUGAGUAAUGUAUGGGCAACUGCCCGAUGGAGGGGGAUAACUACUGGAAACGGUAGCUAAUACCGCAUACCAUCGGAUGUGCCCAGUUGGGAUUCGCUAGUCGGUGGGGUACCGGCACACCUCGGCGACGAUCCCUAGCUGGUCUGAGAGGAUGACCAGACACACUGGAACUGAUACACGGUCCAGACUCCUACGGGAGGAAGCAGUGGGGAAUAUUGCACAAUGGGCGAAAGCCUGAUGCAGCCAUGCCGCGUGUAUGAAGAAGGCCUUCGGGUUGUAAAGUACUUUCAGCGAGGAGGCGUGACUCGCAGAAGAAGCACCGGCUAACUCCGUGCCAGCAGCCGCGGUAAUUA
rnacentral:rRNA from 1 species